rnacentral:rRNA from 1 species
AGAGUUUGAUCAUGGCUCAGGAUGAACGCUAGCGGCAGGCCUAAUACAUGCAAGUCGAACGAUAGUUGGGGCUUGCUCCAACGAAAAGUGGCGCACGGGUGCGUAACGCGUAUGCAACCUACCUUAAUCAGGGGGAUAGCCCGAAGAAAUUCGGAUUAACACCGCAUAAAAACACAGGAUAGCAUUAUCCAAUGUUCAAAUAUUUAUAGGAUUAAGAUGGGCAUGCGUGACAUUAGUUAGUUGGCGGGGUAACGGCCCACCAAGACCACGAUGUCUAGGGGAUCUGAGAGGAUGACCCCCCACACUGGUACUGAGACACGGACCAGACUCCUACGGGAGGCAGCAGUAAGGAAUAUUGGUCAAUGGAGGCAACUCUGAACCAGCCAUGCCGCGUGCAGGAAGACAGCCCUCUGGGUCGUAAACUGCUUUUAUUCGGGAAUAAACCUCAUUACGUGUAGUGAGCUGAAUGUACCGAAGGAAUAAGGAUCGGCUAACUCCGUGCCAGCAGCCGCGGUAAUACGGAGGAUCCAAGCGUUAUCCGGAUUUAUUGGGUUUAAAGGGUGCGUAGGCGGCUUAUUAAGUCAGGGGUGAAAGACGGUGGCUCAACCAUCGCAGUGCCUUUGAUACUGAUGAGCUUGAAUGGACUAGAGGUAGGCGGAAUGUGACAAGUAGCGGUGAAAUGCAUAGAUAUGUCACAGAACACCGAUUGCGAAGGCAGCUUACUAUGGUUUAAUUGACGCUGAGGCACGAAAGCGUGGGGAUCAAACAGGAUUAGAUACCCUAGUAGUCC